rnacentral:tRNA from 1 species
GCUCCCGUAGCUCAAUGGUAGAGCGGCUGCCUCGUAAGCAGCGAGUUAUAGGUUCAAAUCCUAUCGGGUGCUCCA